UACGAAGGGGGCGAGCGUCGUUCGGAUUUACUGGGCGUAAAGGGCGCGCAGGCGGCUCAUUUUGUCAGGCGUGAAAGCCCCGGGCUUAACCUGGGAACUGCGUUUGAUACGGAUGGGCUAGAGUUCGGGAGAGGGAUGCGGAAUUCCAGGUGUAGAGGUGAAAUUCGUAGAUAUUCGGAAGAACACCAGUGGCGAAGGCGACUUACUGGAUCAUUACUGACGCUGAGGCUCGAAAGCGUGGGGAGCAAACAGG
rnacentral:rRNA from 1 species